AGGAGAACCCUCUAAACUGGAGGGACAUGCUACCCAGAGGAAGACAGAGGCCUCUUGGGGGUACCAGAGACUUUACAGAAAUGUCCCUGCUAUCAUGAAAUCACUACAGCCUCAGAUUUGUACUGUGACUUUUCACAGCAUUGUGCUUCCCGGGCUUUUCCUCUUUUAAGCAAGGAGAGGAAGGGCUUGUUCUAGCCCUUGACUUCUAUUUUAUGCUACCCCUCCUUCUGCCAGACACAGCCUCUCUCUUCCCUUCCAGGUCUGCCAGGGGUGCUCCUCCCACGCAGCGGCAACUUGCUGGAGACACUGAUGUCUGAAAGGAGGCUUCACCAAGAAGACAGACUUGAGGCCAGCCAAGGUGAUUGCCCUCCUCAUCAGUGCUCAUGAUACAGCAUGGGCUUCCAGCAGUCGAUUCGAUUGAUAACAUAUAGCAGAACUGAAGAACUGCUUCUGCUUUGUGAGAGCGCUUUGCAAGACUCCUAUAUAAGGUACCUGCCUUGGCCUCUGUUACCUAAAACACGGAGCCUUUAUGUUACAGAGAAGUGCAGUGCACUUUAUUAAGAUUCCUGGCCACAAGAGAUCUGCUCCUCAAACUAACGCCUGCUAAUGUUGGGCUUGAUUAAAGGAAACUAAUGAAGCCAUUUGAAGGAUGCCCUCCAGCCUUCCCUCUCUGUUUCCAUGUUCCCUUGGCAGAAAUCAGGGAUUUGAAAGCUGCAAUUCAACAGCAUCAUCCUUUCAUGUUGUGGAGUGCCUGGCCUAUGAAUGGGACCUGCCCCAGGCUGUGUGUUUCUAGGAGCCCGCUGGAGAACAAGGAUCUCAGAAGCCCACAUCUCCUCUUCGCCAUCGCCAGAGUCUCCGGUGCCAUCUAUGUCUCCAUCCUCGGCGCUGCUAUCCAGGGGCGCCCCACCAAAGCUGUCCAGAGCCUCUUCGGCGUCGCGGUGCUGCCGACUUGUGUUACAGAUGACGCACUCGCUUGCAGAAGCAGCAUUGCCUUUAUAGCUCCACUGGCUUCAGUUAAAGAAUGAAUGAAAGAGCAAAAGUUUAGUUCCCACGUCAACAACCUGAAAACAGUCUUCUCUGUAUGUCCCUGGUCACCCCACUGCCUCCUGUGUUGUGAUGACACAGGCAGAGGAAGUCUUUAUCUCGCCUCUGUGUCUGGAGUCCUGGCAUCACCUUUGCUGACCUACGCUUCAGCAUCCCCAGGGUAACAGGAUACGAUGAAAGAACAGGAUACCAAGAGAGACGUUGGAAAAUUGAGCCCUGUUGAUCUUCUGAACUGCGUCUUCUUCUUUCAUGCCCAGGAUGAAGUCAAAGCCCCCCACAGAAGGCCUGUAAUGCUUAUAAGUGAGUUUUGCCUGGACAGAUGCAAGCCACCAGAGCUUAUUUCUCAGAGAAAUCCUACGAUGGAGGUGACUGCACACCUGGAAGAUUCACACCCUGCUGAAGGACUCUGCCACCAGAGAAUUGCACUGUGGUCCUUCUGCCACCUCCUGCUCUUGUGCAUGUGCUUCCUGGUGCUGAAUGAAGGCUGUGACUGUUUUUGCUGUUUCCUCACCAACUAUCUGCUAUUGAAAAGAUGAGAAAACAGUAUGUUGAACUCGCCGAAAGGAACUUCGGAAAUAAAGGCAAUUCGAAAGUUGCCCAGCAGAUGCUGCUGUUGGACAAAAAAAGAAAAGACCUCUCAAGGUAUGCAAUGGGCUCUUUGAGAAAUGAGCUGCACAGACCACUGAGGGAGGGUCUUGGCUGUGGAAGCGAUUUCCAGAAAAACGUGUGACUUGAGGGGCUGAGGAAGGACUCGCUGAGAAGCAGCAUGAAGCCAGCAGGAGACCCUUACAAAGCUGGAUGUUGGUUAAGGUGCUGAGGGGACAGCCCUGCCCCAGCAUCUCUGACCAGCCAAGCCCGGUGUGCCCGCACAGCAGCCCUGUGUCCCCGGUGCCCUCAUUCGUCAUCCACUGUGGUCGCUGCUGCACGCCACAAGGGAGCUCAUGAGCCACCCCUGUCUUUCUUCUUCCCGUUGAAGAGAGACCUGGCGUGUGGGGCCCCUGCCUCCCUCUGCUGCUGGACUUCAAGGAGGAAGGACUUCAUCUCCUGCCCGGGGCACUCACCAUGCCGUCGGAGCAGUUGGAGCGAGGGCUGGAGGCAUCUGACUCCCCGCUG